rnacentral:rRNA from 1 species
UACAGAGGUCUCAAGCGUUGUUCGGAUUCAUUGGGCGUAAAGGGUGCGUAGGCGGCGCGGUAAGUCGGGUGUGAAAUCUCGGAGCUUAACUCCGAAACUGCAUUCGAUACUGCCGUGCUUGAGGACUGGAGAGGAGACUGGAAUUUACGGUGUAGCGGUGAAAUGCGUAGAUAUCGUAAGGAACACCGGUGGCGAAGGCGGCUCUCUGGGCCUUACCUGACGCUGAGGAGCGAAAGCGUGGGUAGCGAACAGG